rnacentral:rRNA from 1 species
UACGAGGGGGGCGAGCGUUGUUCGGAAUUAUUGGGCGUAAAGAGCUCGUAGGCGGCCUGUUGCGUCCGCUGUGAAAGCCCGGGGCUUAACCCCGGGUCGGCAGUGGAUACGGGCAGGCUAGAGGUAGGUAGGGGAGAAUGGAAUUCCCGGUGUAGCGGUGAAAUGCGCAGAUAUCGGGAGGAACACCGGUGGCGAAGGCGGUUCUCUGGGCCUUACCUGACGCUGAGGAGCGAAAGCGUGGGGAGCGAACGGG